AGCUCCAAUAGCGUAUAUUUAAGUUGUUGCAGUUAAAAGCUCGUAGUUGGAUUUCGGUUGGCGAUCGGGCGGUCCGCCGUUUCGGUGUGCACUGCUUGGGGCCGACUUCUGGUCGAGGACGCGCGGGUGGGCUUAGUUGACCGCCCCGUGGAGUCGGCAAAGUUACUUUGAAAAAUUAGAGUGUUCAAAGCGGGCCUACGCUUGAAUAUUUCAGCAUGGAAUAACACUAUAGGACUCCUGUUCUAUUCUGUUGGUCUUCGGGACGGGAGUAAUGAUUAAGAGGAACAGUUGGGGGCAUUCGUAUUUCAUUGUCAGAGGUGAAAUUCUUGGAUUUAUGAAAGACGAACUUCUGCGAAAGCAUUUUGCCAAGGAUGUUUUCG
rnacentral:rRNA from 1 species